ensembl:lncRNA novel transcript
AUGAGCACCACAAGUUGAUUUGAGCAAAUCCAGGCACCUCUCUCUGCAAGUACAAGACGGGCCUGCGUGUCUGCAUGGAAAAUGAAGUUGUUUCACCUUCCAUGGCAUUGUUCCACUCAAAGAAACAAGCUUUAUUUAUCUCAAAACUUGGCUUCUGUUGACUUGCCAGAUGAAAAAUGAUGUGAAGUUACUGAAAUCAUCUGCUAAGGGAAAUGAAUCCAAGCACGGUGAAAGAUGUUUUGCUGCUUUUUCAAAGCACAUCAGUCAGCUUGUCUUACAAGCACAAUAUAAUUUUCUACCAGCUAAAGUAGCAGUAAACAGAGUGAAUUCAGCUGUGGGAUGAUAGGGGCCUUUCCCCGCAAGUGGACUGAGUCUCAAUUCAUCAUUCACUGCCUGAUGAAGAGGCAGUAUAGCAGACAUGAGAUGCCAACAGUACUCAGCCUAUGCUCAGUCCAGCACCAUCCUUGGUGCACAGUGACCCUUGUGGAAAAUGGGAAAUUAUGAAGUUCUAUGGUAAUUAGUGAAACAAUAACUUAAAGAUAUUUUCAGUUCCACUGCUGAAAUAAAAUAAGGAAAUUCCAAGGAUCUAGAGUAUUUUUAUUCAGCAUCUUCUGAGACCAUUCCUUUGAUUUCACUCAUGUGCGUUUCUGGAACGGGAAGAAGGAAAAGAGAAGGGGAGAGAGUGCAAGAGCCAGGGCUUCCUUAUUCUGGGAAGACUUUGACCAAACUAGGCUAAUACGGCAGAAAGAAACUGACACAGCUGAUGGUCUUUUUGCACGUUUAGCACAUCUGAAGUUUCUGUUUUGAUUAGCGCCUCUCCAUGUUAUCUGAAAAGUCUAUCACUAAGCAAAAACUGACAGUACUUCAAGGAGUAAUUGACAAAUUUGUGAUCAGAGUGGGAGCUUUAACAUGUCUUUCUUAGUAACUGAUAGAUCAAACAGCCAAAAAAUUCAGUAAAGUUAUAAAGAUUUGAACAAGACGAUUAACAAGUUUGAUAUAAAAGACUUAUAUAGAGCACUGCAUUCAACCACUGGGGAAUAUACAUUCUUUUUAAAAUCACAUAUUACCUUUGUAAAAACUAAUUGUGAAUUAGGGCAGAAAGCAAAUAUCAAAUCUCAACAAAUUCAAAGAAUAAGUAUCAAAAGACCACAACACAAUUAAGUUAGAAAAAA